UAAAAUAGCACCACGAUGAAUAAGGCAGAA
rnacentral:piRNA from 1 species